rnacentral:rRNA from 1 species
GACGAACGCUGGCGGCGUGCUUAACACAUGCAAGUCGAACGGAAAGGCCCUGCUUUUGUGGGGUGCUCGAGUGGCGAACGGGUGAGUAACACGUGAGUAACCUGCCCUUGACUUUGGGAUAACUUCAGGAAACUGGGGCUAAUACCGGAUAGGAGCUCCUGCUGCAUGGUGGGGGUUGGAAAGUUUCGGCGGUUGGGGAUGGACUCGCGGCUUAUCAGCUUGUUGGUGGGGUAGUGGCUUACCAAGGCUUUGACGGGUAGCCGGCCUGAGAGGGUGACCGGCCACAUUGGGACUGAGAUACGGCCCAGACUCCUACGGGAGGCAGCAGUGGGGAAUAUUGCACAAUGGGCGGAAGCCUGAUGCAGCAACGCCGCGUGCGGGAUGACGGCCUUCGGGUUGUAAACCGCUUUCGCCUGUGACGAAGCGUGAGUGACGGUAAUGGGUAAAGAAGCACCGGCUAACUACGUGCCAGCAGCCGCGGUGAUACGUAGGGUGCGAGCGUUGUCCGGAUUUAUUGGGCGUAAAGGGCUCGUAGGUGGUUGAUCGCGUCGGAAGUGUAAUCUUGGGGCUUAACCCUGAGCGUGCUUUCGAUACGGGUUGACUUGAGGAAGGUAGGGGAGAAUGGAAUUCCUGGCGGAGCGGUGGAAUGCGCAGAUAUCAGGAGGAACACCAGUGGCGAAGGCGGUUCUCUGGGCCUUUCCUGACGCUGAGGAGCGAAAGCGUGGGGAGCGAACAGGCUUAGAUACCCUGGUAGUCCACGCUGUAAACGGUGGGUACUAGGUGUGGGGUCCAUUCCACGGGUUCCGUGCCGUAGCUAACGCUUUAAGUACCCCGCCUGGGGAGUACGGCCGCAAGGCUAAAACUCAAAGGAAUUGACGGGGCCCCGCACAAGCGGCGGAGCAUGCGGAUUAAUUCGAUGCAACGCGUAGAACCUUACCUGGGUUUGACAUGGAUCGGGAGUGCUCAGAGAUGGGUGUGCCUCUUUUGGGGUCGGUUCACAGGUGGUGCAUGGCUGUCGUCAGCUCGUGUCGUGAGAUGUUGGGUUAAGUCCCGCAACGAGCGCAACCCUUGUACACUGUUGCCAGCACGUUAUGGUGGGGACUCAGUGGAGACCGCCGGGGUCAACUCGGAGGAAGGUGGGGAUGACGUCAAGUCAUCAUGCCCCUUAUGUCCAGGGCUUCACGCAUGCUACAAUGGCUGGUACAGAGAGUGGCGAGCCUGUGAGGGUGAGCGAAUCUCGGAAAGCCGGUCUCAGUUCGGAUUGGGGUCUGCAACUCGACCUCAUGAAGUCGGAGUCGCUAGUAAUCGCAGAUCAGCAACGCUGCGGUGAAUACGUUCCCGGGGCU